rnacentral:rRNA from 1 species
GACGAACGCUGGCGGCGUGCCUAAUACAUGCAAGUCGAACGCUGAAGAGAGGAGCUUGCUCUUCUUGGAUGAGUUGCGAACGGGUGAGUAACGCGUAGGUACCUGCCUUGUAGCGGGGGAUAACUAUUGGAAACGAUAGCUAAUACCGCAUAACAAUGGAUGACACAUGUCAUUUAUUUGAAAGGGGCAAUUGCUCCACUACAAGAUGGACCUGCGUUGUAUUAGCUAGUAGGUGAGGUAAUGGCUCACCUAGGCGACGAUACAUAGCCGACCUGAGAGGGUGAUCGGCCACACUGGGGCUGAGACACGGCCCAGACUCCUACGGGAGGCAGCAGUAGGGAAUCUUCGGCAAUGGGGGCAACCCUGACCGAGCAACGCCGCGUGAGUGAAGAAGGUUUUCGGAUCGUAAAGCUCUGUUGUAAGUCAAGAACGGGUGUGAGAGUGGAAAGUUCACACUGUGACGGUAGCUUACCAGAAAGGGACGGCUAACUACGUG